UGAGUAUCGCAUCAACUUACAG
rnacentral:miRNA from 1 species